AAUUGAAAUCCCAUAAACAACUAUGUUGUUGUAAUAAUUCAAUAAAAGUCAACUCUACGGUUGAAUUCCAUGUAAUCGCCAUCUUGUACACAUGUCAAAAAUUUCCUCACUUUUCAUUGGUUGCGAACUUGCAACCAUCGCCAGGAGAACAAGCUCUCUUGUUUUCAAGCACGGUAGAAGUCGCAUGCUAUUUGGAGGGAGUUUACCAGUUUAUUGGAAGAGCCAUUGCUGCUGCAGUUGCGCGUGCGGCAAAAAAUUGUACAGUGUGACCACGGCUUUAGAAGCUUAUAAUUGUGUGUGGAUACCCAU
rnacentral:lncRNA from 1 species